UACGGGGGGGGGCAAGCGUUGUUCGGAAUUACUGGGCGUAAAGGGCUCGUAGGCGGCCAACUAAGUCAGACGUGAAAUCCCUCGGCUUAACCGGGGAACUGCGUCUGAUACUGGAUGGCUUGAGUUCGGGAGAGGGAUGCGGAAUUCCAGGUGUAGCGGUGAAAUGCGUAAGAUACUGGAGGAACACCGGUGGCGAAGGCGGCAUCCUGGACCGAUACUGACGCUGAGGAGCGAAAGCCAGGGGAGCAAACGGGG
rnacentral:rRNA from 1 species